rnacentral:rRNA from 1 species
GACGAACGCUGGCGGCGUGCCUAAUACAUGCAAGUCGAGCGCAGGAAGCCGUCUGAACCCUUCGGGGGGACGACGGUGGAAUGAGCGGCGGACGGGUGAGUAACACGUAAAGAACCUGCCCAUAGGUCUGGGAUAACCACGAGAAAUCGGGGCUAAUACCGGAUGUGUCAUCGGACCGCAUGGUCCGCUGAUGAAAGGCGCUUCGGCGUCGCCCAUGGAUGGCUUUGCGGUGCAUUAGCUAGUUGGUGGGGUAACGGCCCACCAAGGCGACGAGGCAUAGCCGACCUGAGAGGGGGAUCGGCCACACUGGAACGGAGCCACGGCCCAGACUCCUACGGGAGGCAGCAGUGGGGAAUCUUCCACAAUGGACGAAAGUCGGAUGGAGAAACGCCGCGUGAACGAUGAAGGCUUUCGGGUCGUAAAGUUCUGUUGUAAGGGAAGAACAAGUGCCGCAGGCAAUGGCGGCACCUUGACGGUACCUUGCGAGAAAGCCACGGCUAACUACGUGCCAGCCGCCGCCGUAACAC